UUCGGUCUCUCCCACUAUUUCUCUUUAACUAUUUGUCUUACAAAUUUCUGAAUCCUCUCAAAAACCGAAGCGACAUCUGCCCUAGAUCUAGAAAUCAUCAUAAAUUCCAUCUGUUUUAAAUGUUUUACGUUCCUAAUUCUCAUCUCUUUGUCAACGCGAAGAUUUAUGUUCCUUAAAUUAUUUGGAUCAUGUAUUUAUCCUUCGGAUCAAUUCGUCUUCCGAGCAUCAUUCUCUCCGUAAUCUCCUUCGAGAAAAGGAGUUGGGAAGGGGGAUAUGAUUUCUGGAUGGAAUUGAGUGAAUGACGUCUUACUGUAGAGAGCCCAAGUACAUCUCUCUUCUUCUUGAAGAUUACUUCGAUUGUCUCUACAACUCCAAAGAGGUACCCUACUACUUCCUUAUUCUCCUCUUUCCUGGUCUUCUUUUAGUUGAAGAUUGAUUUCGUUGUGAUUGUUACAUUAUGGUACAAGCCAUUGUUUCCAGAUUUAAGAAAACGCUAGACCAAACUGAUGAAUCAUGUCUAGAUCACGGGAAAACUUUGGAGAGGUCAAAUUUCAAUUCACGUUGGUUAUGUGGCUCAGAUCUCUCCUAUCCUUGAUUCUACACACACAGAAGGUGUAAUUGGUGAGACUGAGUGCUAGCCAUAGAACUCUAAAUUUGAGGUUCGGUCUUUAGAGAAACGUGUUACACUGUUGCAGGAAUAAAACAGCAAAUAGAGGAGAUUCAUCAUCAUCUGCAAAAAUGAGCAGGAGUUCCUUUGCUCGAGAUGGAAUCUUAACUUGAUACGAGAAGUGGGAUCGGAGGCACGUAAUACACCAGUGAGAUGCAAUGGAUUGUGAGUGAGUAACAGGAAUAUCCAAGAAGGCUCUCUCCACUGCGAUUUUAACAUCUCAGUCCGUCCAAUUGUGCAAGUUAAGUUUGGCACCAAGGUCAACAAGUUCCUUUCUUUCUUUGUCGUCUUUUAUAUUCUGAGUCUAGCGAGUGAAGAGAUAUGAUCAACUCAUUCUUUUUUCAUUCUACUACAUCUGGUUUAUGAUCCAAAUUUGUGUUGGUUCAUAUCUGGAAAUUAAGAAUUUGAGUGCGUUUCAGCAAUUGACAAGAAACUGAAGUAA